GAUGAACGCUGGCGGCGUGCCUAACACAUGCAAGUCGGACGGUCUCCUUCGGGGGACAGUGGCGCACGGGUGAGGAGCACGUAGCUCACCGACCCUCGAGUGGGGGAUAACCGGCGGAAACGCGGGCUAAUACCCCUUACGCUCCGGCUGGGUAGGGUCAGCCGGAGGAAAGCGGCGACGCGCUCGAGGACGGGGCUGCGGCCCAUCAGGCAGCUGGUGGGGUAACGGCCUACCAGGCCGACGACGGGUCGGGGGUCUGAGAGGAUGAUCCCCCACA
rnacentral:rRNA from 1 species